AAAAUUUAUGGUUCUUAUGAUUAAAAGGGAAGUAGGUUGAAAUCCUACACGGUCCCGCCACUGUAAGAUGGAUGAAAGCAAAUCACCACUGGUAUAAAACUGGGAAGGGUUGCAAGUAAAGUGAAAUCGAGUCAGGAGACCUGCCAUGAAUUGUUU
rnacentral:ncRNA from 1 species